UGUAAUUGUGUGGGUGUGGUUACUCAUUGUGUUGAUUAGUGUCACCAGCUGUCGUUGAUUUCACCUCCCUUUAUAUGUCAGUAAAUUCCCUCUCAUGUUGUCAGAUCGUUGUGGUUGUUCCCUGGUGUGCGGCCUGUUCUUGUGUCUCGUCAAGCCCAGUUCUCCGUUGGAUUUCGUCAGUUCUUUGUGUUGUUUGGAUUUCGUCAGUUCCUUGUGUCGUCUGGAUGUUCAACGGUUCCUGGGUUUCUCUUCACGCUCUUCACCGCACCACCACCGGAUCGCCAUCUUGUCCCUGCUUCACCACCACCAACUGAUUGUUUGUCCCCGGCCUGUGUCUUUACUCUGACCCUCAUUAUUAUUAAACUUGUUAACUUGCAUCUUGCAUCCCCUCAUUAUUCAUCACAGAAUGAUCUGACCAAACAAUGGAUGCAGCAAGCACCUCUCAACUCCAGGAUUUCAUCGCUCACAGUAUCUCACGUAUGGACCAACAGGAAGAAAACAUCUCAGGCACAGGUCGAGCGGUACAAACACUCGUGAAGCAGGUGUCCGAGCUCACCCAACAGGUACAGCUUCUACGGACUCCCACUGCGUUCCCCACGCUGCCCGAUCCCCCAGCGCCGGCAGCAGCGGAAGGACCAGAGCCACGCCUACCCACACCAGAAGGAUAUUCCGGAAGAGCAACGCUUUGGGGAACGGCGGUGUGGGAGAACGGACACAACUGCUGCACCUCGUUCCUGAGAGUGGACAC
ensembl:lncRNA